rnacentral:rRNA from 1 species
AACGCACCUUGCGCUCCUUGGUAUUCCGAGGAGCAUGCCUGUUUGAGUGUCAUUAAAUUCUCAACCUUUGUUAACUUUUUGGUUAGCAAAUGGCUUGGAUGUGGGGGUAUGCAGGUUUCUCUAUUGAAAUUAGCUCCCCUGAAAUACAUUAGCUGGUUGCCUUGUGUAAACUUGUCUAUUGGUGUGAUAAUUAUCUACGCCGUUCUGUGAAGCAUAACUAUGGGAUUCGGCUUCCAAUAGUCCUUCACUGGACAAUAUCUUUGACCUUUGACCUCAAAUCAGGUAGGAUUACCCGCUGAACUUAA